UACGUAGGUCCCGAGCGUUAUCCGGAUUUAUUGGGCGUAAAGCGAGCGCAGGCGGUUAGAUAAGUCUGAAGUGAAAGGCUGUGGCUUAACCAUAGUAUGCUUUGGAAACUGUUUAACUUGAGUGCAGAAGGGGAGAGUGGAAUUCCAUGUGUAGCGGUGAAAUGCGUAGAUAUAUGGAGGAACACCGGUGGGGAAAGCGGCUCUCUGGGCUGUAACUGGCGCUGAGGCUCGCAAGCGUGGGGGGCAAACAG
rnacentral:rRNA from 1 species